rnacentral:rRNA from 1 species
GAUCCUGGCUCAGGACGAACGCUGGCGGCGCGCCUAACACAUGCAAGUCGAACGGAGCUUAGAGAGCUUGCUUUUUAAGCUUAGUGGCGAACGGGUGAGUAACGCGUGAGUAACCUGCCCUAGAGUGGGGGACAACAGUUGGGAACGACUGCUAAUACCGCAUAAGCCCACGGUACCGCAUGGUACUGAGGGAAAAGGAUUUAUUCGCUUUAGGAUGGACUCGCGUCCAAUUAGCUAGUUGGUGAGGUAACGGCCC